rnacentral:rRNA from 1 species
UAGCGCCGUCGGGUUCUCCCGUCGGCACGUCUGGUUCAGGGUUGUU